GCCCCCGUAGCUCAGUCGGAUAGAGCGGCGGUUUCCUAAACCGCAGGUCGCAGGUUCGAAUCCUGCCGGGGGCA
rnacentral:tRNA from 1 species